CCUAUGGGGGGCCUGUCAGGCGGCACGUGCGCGGGGUGGCGGGGCGGGCGGAGCGCGGACGCGACCCCGACCCCGGCCCCGCCGCCCCCGACCCGGGCCCGGGCCCCGCGCGGACGCGACCCCGACACCGGUCUCGCCGUCCCCGACCCCGGCCCCGCGCGGACGCGGCCCCGACCCCGGCCCCGACCCCGCGCGGACGCGGCCUCGACCCGGACCUCGGCCCCGCUGCCCCCAACCCCGGCCCCGCGCGGACGCGGCCUCGAUCCCGGCCCCGACACCCCCGACCCCGGCCCUGCCCGGACGUGACCCCGACCCCGGCUCCGGCCCCGGGCCGCGCCGACCCCGACCCCAGCCCUGCCGGGACGCGACACCAGCCCCGACCCCGGCCCCGCGCGGACGCGGGCCCGACCCCGACGGCCGCCUUAGCAGCAAGAGAGCGGGAGCAAGGUAGAGGGGAAGAGGGAGAAACAAAGAGAAUUCCAAGCAGUCUCCACACUGUCAGCGCAGAGCCCCAUUCGGAACUCGAACCCACAACCUUGGGAUCAUGAGCUGAGCCGAAACCAAGAGUCAGCACUCAACUAACUGAGCCAUCCAGGCGCCCUAAAAUGG